UGGUGCACAUACAGCUGGUAGGGCCUGCAGCCUGCCCCAGCCCCGUGCUGGGUCCCAACAGGCAGAUUUGCUGCUGCCCCACCUGUACCCUGCACACAGCUUUUAUUUUUACUACGUGGAUUUGACUAUAAUAGAUUCAUAUAACGGCCUCUGAAAUGUAACCUCUCAUGGCCAAACCCAUUCAGUGGGUUUAUUCUGAAGCCCACUGUGCUCCCCCGGGUUCAGAGCCUGGGCCUGAGCGGAGUGCCAUUGUGUGAACACCUGGCGGUAGGCCUCAUCCUUCCAUCUGUGCUCUGGUCUGGCACUCAGGCCCCUGGUGGGGUGAUUCUCAACCCCCUGUUCCCCCACACCCGUACGGUGAUGACACAUGCAGGGCGUGCUUUUGCUUGUUGCUGACCUUGAAGCUCACCUGCCCGACUGUGCCUCUGCAACACAAAACCUGGGUGUCACCCGUCCCUCCGACUUCCAGUCCCGUGUUCACAUGCGUGAUAUCCACAUGCACCCUUGGUGCUCUGGUGGAUGACACAGUCUCUCUACUGGACACACAGUUCACACCCCCUGUGACCACGUCCCCUGCCCCUCCCCCACCUUGCACCCAUUCUUCUCAAGGGGACUUGGAGCUUUCCUUCCGUGACCCCCCUCCAUCUCUGGCUGUCAGAAUCUGCCUGUCACCGUGAGCACUAGUCACUUGUUUGUGCAAGCAGAAUUCCAUCAAGGAAAAGAAUUAUGGAUUCCUGUAGGUCUAGAGCUACAAAAACCAGACCUCACACUCUCAAGGGCCUCCCUCAAGACUCUGAGAAAGCCCUCGGGAACUUUGGUAGCUCUGUCUGUGCACGUUUUCCUCAUCCCAGUUUUCCUGGUGCAUUAACACGUCUGGUUUUGUUUUGUUUUUUCCGACCCCCUUAUUGCUGAGAUUUCAGGGCUAGUGUUUACUGUCAUUACUCCUCAGAUUCAUCAAGUGCUUCCCCAAGGCAGGUUCCUAAGCUUGUUAGGUGAGGGAUCCCCGAGACUCAAGAAGGCUCUGCCUAGAAAAAUAUGCACGUGACCUUGGGGAACUCAUAGGCCACCUGAACCCUGUCCUCAGAACCCCCCCACCCCCCCACCCCCGUGGUCCUCUCCCUCACUUCUCAAAGCAAACUUUGACCUUGGAAAGACACUAACCUGGUAAGCAGCAAUAACCACUCCCUUGUGGCGUGCCUCGACAUUUGGGGUGAGUCUCUGUCGGAGCCAUCUGCCUGGGCAUGCACCCAAGAGCCUCCGGGAAGGAGAAGCACCAGGAGAGCCCGGGGAUGCACAGAGCCCUGCCACUUGCUGAGCGCUGUGACGUGUUAGCACCUGUGCACGGACCCUGGGGGCCCCAAGGGGGCCCAGGACGGAGGGAGCAGGUCUGAGCCCCAGAAGGCUGGUGAGAACUGAGCAUCUGAUGGUAGGCGGUGCUCCCAAAGGCUCCCAGAGCUCCGAGAGAGGAGGAGGGCUGGGGGCGGUAACCCAUGGGCAGGUGAAGCCUCUCUGUGAGCCCCAGACCUGGCUUAGGCCCUCCCCACUCCCUCCCACAUCUUCGUCUCCAGCCCCAGGAUUGCUCAGAGGACUCUGCAGCCACUCCAGCCGCCCCUGUGUCAGCAGCGGUGCGGCUGGAACACUCAUGUGUCCUUGUUUGUAAAUCGCUUUGCAGGCAGCGUGGACCCAACUCCUAUGGCGUCUGGCACCCGCCAUGUCUCCAGAUAGCUACCUGCUUGCGGCAACUGCCUUGCCUCCGGACCACAAGUCACAGAGAGAGAGAGAGAGGCAGAGACACAGGCAGAGGGAGAAGCAGGCUCCAUGCACCGGGAGCCUGACGUGGGAUUCGAUCCCGGGUCUCCAGGAUCGCGCCCUGGGCCAAAGGCAGGCACCAAACCGCUGCGCCACCGAGGGAUCCCGGAUUUGCAGCUUCUUUACGAAUUGAUGACUUAAACAAACAGUGUUCAUUCACUUCCCAUGCCUUACAUCUCUUUAUUUCUUUACUCUGCUUCUCUGAUGCCUCGUAUUCUUAGCUUGCAGUCCCUGGGAAACAGCCCUUGAGAUGGAGCAUGUGUGGGAGUCCAUUUGGGGGUGCCCUGGGGAACACUGCCCGGUAGAGCAAAGAUACCAUGGGCCUCGCUGGGAGCAGCUACAGCAGGAGCCUGCAUCCGUCCUGGGGACAUUGGGGGCACCGAAGCAAGGGGGCCAGGCCUAUGAACACACCACCCCUUCCCCCUGGCCUCUCCGUGGGGAUUUGGUCAGGGGGCUCCAGGCAGCCUUGGGGACCUGUGAGGUGCACCCAGCAACCCCAGUGCUAAGGACUUCUUUCUCUCUCUGCUUCCACAUGGACAGGAUACCAAAACCUGGCACAUAGAGGUGUUUACAAAACAUUUUUUCCUGCUCUGCUUAACCUGUUCCGUGGGUGGGUUUUUAAAUUCUGGGAUAUUCAGUCACAUUGAAGAUGCUGCUGCCUUUUGACACUGUCCUAAUCAGUGACAUAGGCGGAUAUCAAGUCCUUACCUGCUCCCACCAUGGACGAGGCAUGUUACUGGGAGGUCACCCCCACCCCCAUGUGCGGGUACGAUUUAGCCCCUUUGCACAGAGGAGAAAGCUGAGACUCAGGUUGAAUGACUUCUCAAGGUUGCUCUGUAUCCCCCACAAAACUCAUCUGCCUUCAUCCUAACUCCUGGUCCCUCAGAACGUGACUGUAUUUGGAGAGCGGGUCUUUAAAGAGGCACUUAGGUUAAAAUGAGGUUAUCGGGGGCACCUGGCUGGCUCAAGGGUCGUGAGAGCCUGUUGCGCAUGGAGAAAGGCCUUGGGGUGCCUGGAGGUCUCAGUGGGUGUCUGCCCUCAGCUCAGGUCAUGGUCUCAGGGUCCUGGGGUUGAGUCCCGCUUUGGCUCCCUGCUCAGCGGGGAGUCUGCUUCUCCCUCUGCCCCUCCCCCGGCUCAUGCUUGCUCAAAUAAAUACAUAGUUUUUAAAAGAAAAAAAAAACACGAAGCAGCACAGCAACCGCUGUCCCUCCAGCACUGUCCACAGACGAAAUCUAAGCCCUGUGCUUGCUGGUAAAGGAGAAAUGGUGCGGAUCCAGUAACAGAAGCAGGACAGAGAAGGACAGAGGAGGAGGAGGAGUAGAAAUGCACUAAUGACCUCCCAGUGCCCCAGGGUGGGAGCAAACCUGGACCUGUGCCCCCAGGUGACGAAGUUUCUAAGCUGAGGCCUCAGAGGCCCCAAGAGACAACCAGACUUUCCACGAGGCUCCGGCAUGAGCAUGGACAGGAGGUAAGUAGAGCCACAGGUGUCCACGCACACACCCCGUGACCAAGCCCAGGCUGCAGGAAGGCAGACUGGGAAACUGGGAAGUGCUGGUCCCCUCACAGAGGACCAAGAGGUUUGCACUUCCUCCUGAAGGCCGAGGGGAGCCCGUGAAGGGGUUAACACAAAAUGGUGUAAGCACAGUGAGGUGCUUAGAAGACCGUCUGGAUCAUUUUCUGCAGGAUGGGCGGUGGGUCAGGGCUGCGAGUAGGGUUUUGGGGCAGGUGACCCCAGCAGUGAUGUGCCCUGGAGUGGGUGACAGCCCCAGUGGGCUUCGGGCAGUGGGCACAGAUGGAUCGAGUCCGAACGUUAAAGAGGCAAAACUGGGCGGAACCGGUGCUGUCCUCAAAAGAGGGGGCAAGGGGACAGGCGUCAGGGUGACAUCCAUGCUUCUCGCUUGGGCAACUGUCUGAUUUGCACAGUUGGAGGUGAGGACAGGGUGAAGGGGACAUCACCUUACACAUGUGUGAGGCACCUGUGGGGCCUCCGGGAGCAGCGUCCGGGGAGCUGGUGAUGGGUCAGCAGGUCACGAGCCCAGGAGGAGCAUCUGGAACGCAAGGCACAGAUGCUAGAAUCACGAGCAUGCCACUCGUACCUAAGGCAGAAGAGCGUCGCCAUGGGUUACGGUUCGGAGCCCUGGGCAUGCGCUGUGGGAGUAAAACUGGAUCAGAAUCCCGGCGUCCUGAUCUCCCUUGGCCAUCCUUCCCUGAGGCGCCCCACAGAAGGGGCUACCGUGGGGAUGAAGCCCCCUGCCGGAUGGAAAGCUGCACACCAUCACAGGAAGCUCAGCCCCUUGUCCAUCUUUCUGGGACAUCUCAGUGAUUCCGUCACCUCUGGCUCCCGUGAUCACCUUCAUCUGGGCAGAAUCCUGAAUCUGGAACUCCAGCUCCUCACCCACACUUUAGUCUGUAAUCACAGUACAUGUCUAGUUCUGUGUCCUGCUGGAUCAUGAAGCAGAUGGAUGAAGAUGAACUCAUCAUCUCAUAGCUAUUCUUCUUUCUUACCAUCCAUUUCUGACCAGUUUUCAUGGAACACAUACUGAAUUGCGAUCCUACGGUGUUCAGGCACCGUUCUACACUGUGGGAAUACCCUGGUGCACGAGACAAAGUCCCUGCCCUCAUAGGGGCUUGUGUUCUAGAGGUUUCUAGGCCAGACCCACAGGAGCAUAUGCCACUUAAAAUGUGGUACACACACCAUAUACAUCAGUCUCACCCAGGAGCUUAGUAGAAAUGCCAGUUCUCAAGCAUCAUCCCAGGCCCACUGAGUCAAGGCUGUGUGUUAGGGGCCCAGCAUUUGGUGCCUACCCAGCCCUGCAGGUGACUCAGGGGAGCAGCAAUGCCCUCAUCAUCUCAGACCCCCCUCUAUUCAUACCUGGGAAACCUGAAGAUUCCUCCUGUGGCCCUCUCCAUCCCCAUCUUCAUCUGGAACCUUUGAACCUCAUGUAUGCAUUGCUGGAAAAUCUAAUCAAUCUGUUUUCUGGCUCCAUGCUGUUGGAUGGAGGACUUUUCUCAAAUCCUGCCUUCACUAACAACAAUGAUAAAAAACUCACCGUGGAAGUUUAAGUCAUCUGUUCAAGGAAAUAACAGCUUCUCUGGACCUGAGAGCUGUGUCAUGUACCCUAGGGCUGCUGUAGCAAGGUACAUGGAUUGGGCGGCUUCCAAGAGAAAUUCACUCUCGCAGUUUUGGAGGUGGCUUCCCUCUGUGGGCUCUGGUGGCAGCGGGCAGUCCUCAUAUCCCUUGCUUUGUAAACGCGUGACCACAAGCUCGGCCUCCCUGUCCACAUGGCUUCUCCCUGCUUUUGUCUCUUUACAUGGCCCCAUUCUUACAGGGACACCAGUCAUACUGAAUUGGCAACCCAUUCUACUCCAGGAUUUCCUCCCCUUAACUAAUUAUAUCUACAAUGAUCCUACUUCCAAAAGGGUCACAUUCUGAGCUACUGGGGUUAGGACUUCAAUAUACGGAAGGAACACAGUUUGGGAGCGGGGCACAAUUCAGUGUGUACCAAUAGCCCCAGUGUACAGUUCACCUAAGAGCAAACCUGUGCUCCAGCGUCUCCCCUAACUUCCCUGUGUGCCAGGCCUCGUCCCAUGCUGUCCCUUUGCCCCUGACUCUUCUGCUCCUGAUGUCCCUCCAGCUCUCUACCAUCUAUUUUUAAAAAUAUUUAAUUUAUUUAUUCACGAGAAACACACAGAGAGGCAGAAACACAGGCAGAGGGAGAAGCAGGCUCCCUGUGAGGAGCCCGAUGCAGGAGUCCAUCCCAGGACCCGGGGAUCACGACCUGAGCCACCCAGGCACCUGCUGUCCACCACCUACACUGAGAACUAAGGACUCACAUGCCUGCCAGAGGCCAGGCACUUCAUCAGAACAAGUGACGGAAGCUAGAUGGUACACGACAAAGGGAUACUUUGCUUCCAUGCCAGGCAGACAGUGGAGAUUGGUGGGAACUGGGGAUCUGGGAAUUCGAUGCAGAGUCUGAAAGCAGAGCUCCUCUAAUUCCUGCUACGUGCACCUGUAGACAUGUGGGCUCUGUGGAUACGUCUGAGCCUCCAAGACACACUAACAUCUACACCUUGUGUGAGUAUAUGUGAAAGCCAUUUCCACAUUUUAAAAUACUGGCCACGGAUUCAAAUAAAAACGAACUGUGUGAGCAAUGGGGGGAGACACGUCUGCAGCCCUACCCAGCCCAGGGGCCAUCAUUUCUUCAGCCUGUGACACUCCCCACGGUUCCAGGCCUACCUGUUGGCACCUUCUAACCAUUUCAAUCCUGUUAAAGUCACAUUGAUGUUUAUGUGCUGGGUGAUGCCAAAGACAGAACCAUGUCUAGAGGGACCUGGAGAUGCACCCACUGAGGAAACGCGUGAAACAAGUUAGUGUGAGUGAGCACUAGCCCCGCAAGCUAGACAAGAGAAGCUCGGAGGCAACUCUGGAAGGCUUCUCAGAGGAAAGGGCUUUGGAAGCUACUCCUAAAAGGAUGUGCAGACCUUUACUAGGACGCUACUGGCCUAAGCGUUCCCCCCCUCUUCUGAACUCCAAGGGCAGGAAUAUCUCAAUCAAGUGUGAGAACACGUGUGUCCCCCCCACAUCGGGGCCCUCGGUAACCCCCGAACCCAGGAACCAAGUGUUUUGCAAAGGCUCCAGGCACAGAGCAGGGCAGAGAGAGGAGUGGUCUGCACCGGUGGGGGGGGUAGGGGCUGGAGGUAGGCAGCUCGCGGGCCCCUAGGAGGGAACUGGAACCCCACAGGGGUGGGGGGGAGCGGCAGCUGAGGGUCGUGGCGGUGCGCGCGGGGAGCCGUGGGUGGGGGCCUCCCCGCCUUCCCCGAGACCCCAGCCUCUCCCUAUUGGCCGACCCCUGAGAGUCUGCCCUGCACCCUGCUUCCCGGCGUGGGACGGGCGCCGAACCCCUGGCUCUACGCACCCAGCGGGCCUCCCCUCCGCCGCGGCCCCGCCCCCCGCCACCUUGUCCGCUCUGCGCAGACUCGGCCGGACCCGCUGCGGGAGGGGGGGUGCCUCCACUGCGAGACUAUGGCGAUCCCGCAGCGCCGCUUCGCGCCCGCUCGUGGGUCCCCUCUGCGCAGGCUCGGGCCAGGUCCGCUUUUGGAGGGGGGUUUCCUCUGCACAGAUUCGGGCCAGGCCCUCGGUCCCCGCUGGGACUCGCGCGAUUCUGCUCCCGGGGUCGGGGGGCUUCGGGCGGCACAGGGUGGUGCACCUGCUGGUCCUGCGGGAUCUGUGAGCUGCCGGCGGCUGGGCUUCGCCCCGUGGGUCCGGGUGGGCAACCCCAGCAAGCGGUUUUACAUUUUUGUUCCAAUUCUUUUUAGUCGUGUCCCCCACCCCGCCAAUCCCGCAAGCCUGCGUGGUCUUAUUCGUGGAUGCCUUCUGUUUGUAUUGUCCUGUCAGAGGCUUGGGACACAGGUGCACAAGGACAGGCACCAGUAACGUUUAAAAGGGCAGGUUCUGAAGUGAGAAGGCCAGACGCUCAGAAAGCUGACGGGCUCAGUCUCCUACUGCUUAGGGGCUGUGUGACGCUGGCAAGCUGGUUAACCUGAGUCCUAUUUGAUGGAUGGGUCGUUCCCCUUUCCUCACUAAUAUAUUUUUAAGAGAUUUUAUUUUUUCAUGAAAGAGAGAGGCAGAGGGAGAAGUAGGCUCCUUUUGGGGAGCCCAAUGCGGGACUCGAUCCCAGGACCCGGGGUCACGCCCUGAGCGGAAGGCCGAGGCUCAACUGCUGAGCCCCCCAGGCGCCCUCCUCGCUAGUUAUAAAUGCCGUCUUUGACGUUGACUCGCGUACACGUGUAUUUGGUUAUGUAUUUGGGGUUUGCUCCAGUCAUCUCCAUCUUCUUUGAUAAUAAACUGUUACUGGGAGCUUUUAAGUGUGUGUUAGAAUCUGUCUGGUAGGACGAGUCCUCGCUCCGUUUACUCUCUCCUCCCCCUUUUUUUUCCAGAAAAAUUGUAACCAUGAAAAUAUUCUUAUAUUUCUUACAUUAUUUUUAAGUUAACAAAAUAAAAGGUUUGAUUUUUUU